GGGGAAUGUGCACUUAGAAGGCCGUAGACAAAUGGAGAAGCUUCACGUUGCAGCUGGUGGCCCAGGGACUUUCACCCCUCUUGGAAACUGAUGGCUGUGCUUUACACAACUUUUACUGAGGACUGUGAGGUAUUUUCCCAUUUCCAUUGCACAGGUAAUCCAGUCAAGCACACAGCCUCAGCAGCUGUCUAGCACCAGGGGCAGGUCUGUAACUGUGAAGGCUCUGAAGAACGAAGCAUAGACAUGAAAGCUUUUCAGGCUCAGCUGGCCUUCAGAGACUAUUACACCCUUCUACAAAGCCUGUUC